GACGAACGCUGGCGGCGUGCCUAAUACAUGCAAGUAGAACGCACAGUUUAUACCGUAGCUUGCUACACCAUAGACUGUGAGUUGCGAACGGGUGAGUAACGCGUAGGUAACCUGCCUGGUAGCGGGGGAUAACUAUUGGAAACGAUAGCUAAUACCGCAUAAUAUUAAUUAUUGCAUGAUAAUUGAUUGAAAGAUGCAACUGCAUCACUACCAGAUGGACCUGCGUUGUAUUAGCUAGUAGGUGAGGUAACGGCUCACCUAGGCGACGAUACAUAGCCGAACUGAGAGGGGGAUCGGCCACACUGGGACUGAGACACGGCCCAGACUCCUACGGGAGGCAGCCGUAGGGAAUCUUCGGCAAUGGACGGAAGACUGACCGAGCAACGCCGCGUGAGUGAAGAAGGUUUUCGGAUCGUAAAGCUCUGUUGUAAGAGAAGAACGGGUGUGAGAGUGGAAAGUUCACACUGUGACGGUAUCUUACCAGAAAGCGACGGCUAACUACGUG
rnacentral:rRNA from 1 species